AAUGAAAAUGCGACGAGCUCCAUUGUAACACCGUCCAAUGAGUUUGCAAGUAUCUCAAAGUCCAUAGUUCCCGGAUGAAGUAUACAGCCCUCAACCUUUUGAGCUACUAAUUGCCAUGGAACAAUUGCACUGUAACGUUCAACAACGGUGGGAUCAAUGCCGAAAUCAUACCGAUGGGCUACUUUUGUUCCAGUUGCAAAAAAAACAGUGCUAUGUUGACCGUCUUACUGCUUCUCUCAAAAUGUCGACAGAGGAAUGUACCGGUGAUAGAACCUGGUAAUCCAGACAUUGUAAACUUCAUUACUCAGUCAGCAGUUGUCCAAGGCACAAAAGGAUGCAGAGGAAGAGGUUGGUUCGACAGCAUUGCAUCCAGGCCUCUAUCUGAUCUUGGACUUCCUUUUUGGGUCUGCUGAUACGGUUACUGAUUCUUGGAGCUUUCAAGAUUAUGAGGGAUCAUCAAAUUGGUGGUCUUCCUGUUGUGUUGUGUCUGCUGUUUGAACUCCUGAGGUUGACUGCUUGCGCUCAUCAACCAACGGAAAAUCAUGUUGCUGCCGGCCUGCUUG